rnacentral:rRNA from 1 species
ACGGAAGGCAGCAGUGAGGAAUAUUGGUCAAUGGGCGGGAGCCUGAACCAGCCAAGUAGCGUGGAGGAAGACGGCCCUACGGGUUGUAAACUCCUUUUGCCGGGGGAUAAAAAACGGGACGUGUCCCGUCUUGCAGGUACCCGCGCGAAUAAGGACCGGCUAAUUCCGUGCCAGCAGCCGCGGUAAUACGGAAGGUCCGAGCGUUAUCCGGAUUUAUUGGGUUUAAAGGGUGCGCAGGCGGUCUUUUAAGUCAGUGGUCAAAUCGUGGUGCUCAACGCCAUCCCGCCAUUGAUACUGGGAGACUUGAUUGCGGUUGAGGUAGGCGGAAUUCGUCGUGUAGCGGUGAAAUGCAUAGAUAUGACGAAGAACACCGAUUGCGUAGGCAGCUUACCAAGCCGUAAAUGACGCUCAUGCACGAAAGUGCGGGGAUCGAACAGGAUUAGAUACCCUGGUA